rnacentral:rRNA from 1 species
UACAGAGGUGGCAAGCGUUGUUCGGAAUUACUGGGCGUAAAGGGCGCGUAGGCGGUUCGAUAAGUCCUGUGUGAAAUCCCUCGGCUCAACUGAGGAACUGCACGGGAGACUGUCGGGCUUGAGUUCGGGAGAGGGAAGCGGAAUUCCGGGUGUAGCGGUGAAAUGCGCAGAUAUCAGGAGGAACACCGGUGGCGAAGGCGGGUCUCUGGGCAACAACUGACGCUGAGGAGCGAAAGCGUGGGGAGCGAACAGG